GCGUCGGCCAUCAUGGAACUGCUGCUCGAGACCCUAGCCUCUCUGUUCGCUAAGUCACUCCCUUCAGCCAGCUCCACCACCCCCGCUCCCUCUCAAACUUCAGAACCCUCGGCGACCACCGAGAUUAAGGCUGCUGCUCCACAGUCGAAUGCUAUCGUUGCGAGUACUGCUCGGAUUCCUGCUACUCCUUCUGUGGUCGCUUCUCCUCUAUCUCGUGACCCUUGCAUUAAAAUCCCUUUUCAGUUCGCUUUGGGCACUAUCAGCUCCGCGGACGACAAAGGCAUCGACUACGUCUUCUCCAGCAUCCCCCAAUUCGUCAAGCUUGUACUUCCCUACCGUCGAGCCCGUCUCCUCUCUCUUGAGGCCGUGCUCGAGCCUGUCGUCCCGCUGAGGAAUGGCUACUCGAUUAUCCUCUGCUGGACCCAGGCCAACAACACCGUUUCUGGUGCUGAUGCUCUUGCUGUGCCUGGCGCCCAGCUAUUCUCAGUCACCACCUACGCCGUCCUCGCCCAGUCCCAAAUUCUCCCAGCUCCUCUCCACGCCCUUAAUCCAAUGGUCAAAGAUUCCGUCUCCUAUACCGACUCUCCUCGACUGCACCUCUCCCCCUUCAAACUGGACAACUCCGGUGCCGCCCUGCUCGUUCUCCGAGGAGUCCUUGAAGUCUCUUCUCCGGCUCUUAUUGCCAAUACUGCAUGAUCAUGGAUACGUCCCAAACUCAUGCCGCACCUGUUUAAAUUACCUAAAACUUCCCCAACCCCCCGGCGUCACCCGCACCAUCUUCCCGGUGGCUUCCGGCUCACCCUAGGCCGUUGGGUCGCAAGACCGCCCGGCCGGGAGUUUCCAAGUUCUCCAAAAAAAAAAAAAAAAA
rnacentral:misc_RNA from 1 species